CGAUAUCGACGAGGUUUGAUCCUGGCUCAGAGCGAACGCUGGCGGCAGGCUUAACACAUGCAAGUCGAACGCCCCGCAAGGGGAGUGGCAGACGGGUGAGUAACACGUGGGAACGUACCUUUUGGUUCGGAACAACACAGGGAAACUUGUGCUAAUACCGGAUAAGCCCUUACGGGGAAAGAUUUAUCGCCGAAAGAUCGGCCCGCGUCUGAUUAGCUAGUUGGUGAGGUAAAGGCUCACCAAGGCGACGAUCAGUAGCUGGUCUGAGAGGAUGAUCAGCCACACUGGGACUGAGACACGGCCCAGACUCCUACGGGAGGCAGCAGUGGGGAAUAUUGGACAAUGGGCGCAAGCCUGAUCCAGCCAUGCCGCGUGAGUGAUGAAGGCCCUAGGGUUGUAAAGCUCUUUUGUGCGGGAAGAUAAUGACGGUACCGCAAGAAUAAGCCCCGGCUAACUUCGUG
rnacentral:rRNA from 1 species